UACAGAGGUCUCAAGCGUUGUUCGGAUUCAUUGGGCGUAAAGGGUGCGUAGGCGGCGCGGUAAGUCGGGUGUGAAAUCUCGGAGCUUAACUCCGAAACUGCAUUCGAUACUGCCGUGCUUGAGGACUGGAGAGGAGACUGGAAUUUACGGUGUAGCGGUGAAAUGCGUAGAUAUCGUAAGGAAGACCAGUGGCGAAGGCGGCUCACUGGACCGGUACUGACGCUGAUGCGCGAAAGCGUGGGGAGCGAACAGG
rnacentral:rRNA from 1 species